CUACCUGCAGCUUGUGGGGCUCUCCUACAGUACUAGGGGGCAGUUGCACAAUAACUUCCCAAAUCCGCCUGAUUCCUAUAAUGAAAUGAUCCAAUUAGUUCCUAAUCCCUCCCAGUGAUGUGCAGUACUCACCUGUAUCCAGAGCUCCUGACCACUUCCUGCUUGUAGACUGACCACUUCCUGCUUGUAGAUUGGCCACUUCCUGCUUGUAGAUUGGCCACUUCCUGCUUGUAGGCUGACCUGUCCCACUACUCAGACAAGUUGUUUCUGUUGAUACAAAGUAUCACUGAUUCAUAGGGCAUUUAUAUUGCCAAAUGGGCAACUUAUAAUAUAAUAAACAGUAUUGUCAGCCUGUGGGUUGUUCUGCCCCAGCAGGUGAAUAAGAGCCCGAGGGGCAGUACCAGUAGCUCAUGGCUUUGCCCAAGAAACUGCCACAGAGCAUCACUGGGCUUGUCACCCUCUGGGGGAAGAAUCGUGACAUGGAAGAGAUUUUACGUCAGGUGGUGCAGGACCCUGAUUGCAGCAGUGGGAUACAGCAGUAUGAUGCAGCGGUGGGAUGUAGCAGUAUGAUGCAGCGGGGGAUGCAGCCGUGGGAUACAGCAGUAUGAUGCAGCGGUGGGAUGUAGCAGUAUGAUGCAGCGGGGGAUGCAGCCGUGGGAUACAGCAGUAUGAUGCAGCGGGGGAUGCAGUGGUGGGAUGUAGCAGUAUGAUACAGCAGUAUGAUGCAGCGGGGGAUGCAGCAGGCUCUCUAUGGCAUUGUGCGAUCCUCCAGCCUGUCUCAGAGCACCAAAGGGAUCCUCACUGCUGGAGUCAAGAAGACGGUGCAGUACAGCUCCAAGGAAUUCUAUGAAAUGCUGCGGAGGCUCCGGAAGGGCAAAUCCUGAUGUUUAUUGUUUGGCUGUUCUUUGACUCUUAUUUACAGUGUACCCCUUUGUUACCCCUAAAUAUGGUGCCCCCUAAUAAAUCUCUGUACUGA